GGCUCGUUGGUCUAGGGUAUGAUUCUCGCUUUGGGUGCGAGAGGUCCCGGGUUCGAAUCCCGGACGAGCCC
rnacentral:tRNA from 1 species